rnacentral:lncRNA from 1 species
UUAGAUUUGUAAGUAUCAUCGAGGAAUUUGAACAUUUCAGCAUCAUUCCACAAGUGAUGUGUGCAACCACUGUCAAGAAGUCAUGAAUCAGAGGAUUCAUUGAUUGAAAAGUAUGAAACCACAAAGAGUUGCUCCUCAUGUGCAUCCGCAGCUUCUGCUACUUGUGCUUGCAAACAACCAGAGGCCUUUGCUCUUGAUUUGCAGACCUUGGAUAUGUGCCCUGUCUGCUUACAGUUUCCGCAUAUAGCAUCGACUCUCCACCAACAGUACUUCUCCAGAUGUGUAGUUCUUUUACAAUGUUUGCAUGGAGGGAACUUCUUCUUAACAUCUCCACUAUUAUUUCCUCCAUCAUGCUUACUCUUAUUAUU